rnacentral:tRNA from 1 species
AUCUUUGUAGUGUAUAAAUAACACAUUUCAUUUUCAUUGACAAAAAGAGAAGCCUUUUAACUCCUAAGAUA